rnacentral:rRNA from 1 species
CAGUAGCCACGGUAAAACGAAGGGGGCUAGCGUUGCUCGGAAUUACUGGGCGUAAAGGGCGCGUAGGCGGACAGUUCAGUCGGGGGUGAAAGCCCGGGGCUCAACCCCGGAACUACCUUCGAUACUGGCUGUCUUGAGUACGGGAGAGGUGUGUGGAACUCCGAGUGUAGAGGUGAAAUUCGUAGAUAUUCGGAGGAACACCAGUGGCGAAGGCGACUCUCUGGUCUGUAACUGACGCUGAGGAGCGAAAGCGUGGGGAGCGAACAGGAUUUGAUACCCCCGUAGUCCCUGUCUCUUAUAA